AUAUAUAUAUGUGUGUGUGUGUGUGUGUGUGUGUGUGUGUGUGUGUACGUACGUAUGUUUAAUUUAGUAGGCUAUGUAUGCACGCAUGUAUAUAUGAAUAUAUGCAUUUAUGAUAGAAUUUUUUCAUAAUCAUGUAUACAUAUGUAAGCAGGAUGUAGCUUGAUGAUACAUAAUUAUCCUAUUUAAUAAUUUCUGUUGGAUCUUACUGAAGCUAUCAUUGUGUUUGCCCAAGCCAGUAUAUUGCUUGUUGCAUGUAUUUUGCUAUUUACUCUUUUGUAUGUCUCUUUUCUCAUAAUCAAACUUGUUAAACUAAGAAAUCUGGCAGAAAUAUUAUAUUCGAUUCACAACUUGGAUAUUGACGAGAGACAAGAAUAUUUACAAUCAGUACAGUUUAAUAAACACUACAAAUUAUCGUACAUUUUGAAGAAUUAAUGUACCCAUGUACUAGUUGCCUAACACAGAGUUGAUUCAGAAUGUUUUAUGAUCAAAAUUACUAAAAGCUUUAAGAUAAUCUAGAAUAUUCAAGGACUUCUAAUUAAAUUACCAUAUAUCGUAUUUUAACUAUGACUAAUUGAGAAUUAAAUUUCAAGAGUAAAACUCAGACCACUCGAGGGGUGAGAUUGCAGUGUUUACUUCAAUGUUCCACUCAAUGCAUCAAAAUUUCAAAAAAAUUACAUAAUAUAUUAAACAUGAGACAAAUGAAAACGAAUAAACAUUUAUAAUGUCUUUAAAUUUCAAGAAUUAUAUAUACAGCAUAUUAUGUACAAAUCUUGUUAUACUACUACUGCAUGCUCAAGUUCAUAAUACUUUGACUCAAAUUCUGUCGUAUUCAAGAAAUAUGAUUUGCUUAUUUCAUUAUUCUAUGCAUUAACUUGGCAGUCAAAAUACGGUUUAUUGUUUUUGUCUACUGAAUAAGUUACAUUACAGUAUUAUUUGUAAUAGUUCAUUGAGCUUUCUUUCUUUAUUUAUGUUAUAUUAUACUUUUCAUCUUGCACCUGUUCUUGUAUUUGUCUUAGUAGUUUAAGUAUCAUUAAUUAUUUUAUUUAAUAUAAUAUUCCAAUUUUAUUUCUUAUUUGUGCUUGAUGUCAUUUUUUUCUUUUAGUGAAUAUCUACUGCUAGAUAUCGAGAUUAAGAUAACAAUUAAGUUUAUUGUUUUGGCUUUAUUCUGUUUUGUUAUGCAAUAUUAUUUUAUAGGUACUUACUAUGUACACUGUUCCCCUGGUAUCAUAUACUGUACAUAGACAAGAGGUAAAUAAUUCAUAGAGUGACGGCAUUUGAUUGGCUGAUUCUCUGACUGUUGAGAAACUGUUAAAACAAUAUGGUGCAAAAGAUCGAAAAAUCAUAGUUUGUUGCUCUUGCACCAUGUUGUUUUAACUGGUACUCUAAGACGCCGUCGUUCAGUCAGACGAAAGGCGUAUCUAUUGUCGAUGUAUAAUUAUGACAACAGGGAAUCAGGUAACUCAUAAUGCAUAUACUUUAUUCAUUUUCUUCUAAUUUCUCAAUAUAAUUAAUUGUUUACCGAUUCUAGCAUUUCGUCUGCCACGAUUUUGAAUUAUGAUCAUGUUACCCCAAAGGAGGGAAACAUUUUUUUUAUUCGUGUAAACACUUAAUAAUUAUUCAGUUCUGGGCCAAUUCAUUUGGAACUUGACAGGCUUGUACCUCGGUUCAGUACGCCUAUACAUCUGGCACAUCAUUUAUUUUCUUAUUUACUCUCUGUAACGAUUUUACAAGUCAAACAACCCAAAAACAUAUUCUGAGUGGCUGUUCGGUUAUAUUUUGACCAACUGAGAUGAAAGUUAUCGCUUGGUUUGCAUGACUGAACCAUUUACAAUGAUUUCUGUACCAAUAAGUCUUUUUAUUUUAUUAUUUGUCAAUAAUAUUCACCAUACCAGGUCUAGAUAUGUUUGUGUCCUGUUGUAAAUAUGCAACAUAGACAACAGGUAACAACCUUAGUCUGCACCUGGCUUUCUUCAUUUCAUUAUUUUUUAAACUAGAAUUACUAUACAUAUAAACACUUCGUAAUUAUAAUACUUUUGUUCUUAGAGUUUAAUAUUUUAGUUCAGCAUACACUUAAUUAUUUUAACUUAUGUUAUUUCGCUUUGUUUCUACAGUAUAUAAACCUAAUUUACUUAAAGCAUAUUGUACUAUCAAGUUUUCAAUACGCACUUACCGCUGCUUAACAAGGCCAGUAAAUAAAGGAAGGGAAGGUGGUUGAUUCAACAGUAACCAAUGAAAGUUUAUAUUUUCAUUGUUCUUUUUGUUUUAAGUGAUGGAACUAUUAAGGGUAAUUGCACCGUAAAAAUAAUACUUGGUUUUCAAAUAAUAAUAUACACACUGUUAAGAGGCCGUUGUGCGUAUUGUAUCUUAUUGACCUUUAAGUUUUAGUAUCAAAAUAUAUUAUGAUUAGUUUCUUUGAAUUAGACAUACCACUGGAAGACAUGAAAAAACCAACGUUAGAAAAGUACAGUACUGCAAAAAGAUCAAUAAACCAUUAAUUUUUCAGUUAAAUGAGCCAACCAAACCUAACCUAACCGAAAACUACACUACGAUCAUUUAGCUUAGGUUAAAUGCAGGUCGCUUAGAUAUAAAUAAACAUGAAUAAAUUUGCAUGAUUUAACGUUCCACUGAUUACAUUGUCAUCAGUUGUUUAUAAUUCAUAAUUUAUAUAUAAUUCUCGGUCCUUUUCGCUAUACUUUUCGAGCAUUGGUCGUCACAUACAAGUAAUGUUUUCCUAAAUCCAGUCUUCCAUUAGUGUUAGCCAACCUCGGUGAAGCUUACCAAGUUUAUCGUUUUAUUAACCCUUUUAAUUUAUACGAAGUGUCAUUUAUUCUAUACUACAAAUAAGGUAUCAUUCCAUUUAGCCUUACUUUGUUCAAUGCAGUUGUGGCUCUUAUUCUUACCUAAGUUUCGUUGUAAAAAAGACGAGAAACGGUUGGAUCUCAUCAACAACGCAUAAUUAUUCCCACCACGUGUUUAUGCCUCGCUCUUUAUUCUGUGUAUUGUAGUUUUGCUUCUGGUAAAUAUGUCAUGUUUGCUGUAUGUUCAACGGGCCACUACACAGUAGGGGACUAGUUAACUGUUUUGUCGUCACUUUCAUUUUCAAUGCUUUACACUGUUUUUAUGUUGCCAUUAUCAUUAUUUCGCGUCUUCUCUAUAAGCACCGAACUUAAUUGUUCUUUUUGUUUGGGUUCUUAUUAUUGAUCUCCUUAUACUGUAUAUGUAGAUGAUGCUUUGCUUUUUUCCAGCAUAUUUUUGUAUCGUCGUCAAUCAGAAUAUCAUUCUUAAAUUUAUUUUGUUGGUGACAGACUAGUGUGUUUACUAAUGAAAAAAACGCUUAAAGACCUCAGUUGAUGAAGCGUAGUAAUAACUUCUAAAAACAACUUCUGUUACUGUGUUUACGCUGGAGGCUGGUCGACUGGUUUGUAUUCUUUCAGACUGCGUUUAGAUGGUUGCCGAGUUGGGUGCUUUAGUUUCAUUAAAAUUAAACACGCAAAGUUUUUUGUUAUUUUUUUAAUGCGUGAUAAAAUACAAAGGUUCUUAUGUUAGUACAAUUAAUUUUGUUGCAGCAGAUAGUUACCAGCUGUACAAGAAGUUUUGUUUCUUUGUUAAUUUCUAGUGUUAUGUUUUUGCAAUAAUUUUGUUACGUUUUCAUUUUGUUUCUUUUACGUUGUCUUUUUAUUUUUGUAGCAUUUGUUUUCAAAAAAACAGUUUCCAAAUAAAAAAAAAGCCCAAAAAUAUUAUAUUAUAAUUAGAGUGUAAGAACAGACCUGCAGUAUCUACUUACUAAUAAAAAAAUCAAUUUAGUCUUUAUAAUAUUUUUGGAAUAUAAUAAAAUACUUCACUAUCAUACUAUAUUAAUCUGUAAAAAAAAAUAAAAGUAAUAAGGAAAAUUAUCCUCAUUAAAUAUAGACAGUAAUACGAAUAAAAAUUGUCAAUAUUGUUUUGUAUUAUUUUAGCCUAAUUUUCAGUAUUUCGUGAAAGUUGAAAAUACUAUAUUGUACUGCAUAAAUUUGGAUUCUAUGACAUACAAGGACCCCCUCUGAAAUAUGUGGACCCUUCUGAUAUACCGUAUAUCUAACCGGAGUAUAUCCCUACGUGGAAAUUGUGUAGUACGAUAACAGUAGUGGUCAUCAGUUUAUAGAGGGCCCAAGGGAUCCCUAAACACCCUUUCCCUCCGAAGUGCACGGUCAUGAGCUAAUGCAAUCAUUAAUGCCAUCUUCAUAACUUAACUCAUUUGAAGUACGUCUGGCGUUUGUAUAUUUUGGUACGGGUUGUAUAAUAGAGAAAACGGGAGUUACAUGACCUCAUUUCCGCUUUGAGGAAGCUUACGAGACUUCCGGAGCCACCGCAUGUUACCAAGAAAAGUCAGCCAUUUUAAAUCGAGAUGUGGAUUUCGUAACUCUUUGGUGCUUUAUCAACACAGGAGAUAUUAUGAACUUCAUAAGCGCUUGAAAAGCUCGUAACCCGUUAAUGAAUCCCCGGUUAAAAAAUGGUUAUAUUUAAGCGCAUGGCGCAGAAUAAAAAUAAAUUACCUUACAGAAACACCCCAGGAAAAAUACCAAGCAAGAACAUAGGCGGAAAAGUUUGUGCAAAUUAAUAUUAAGUAAUACUGACGAACUUUAUAUCUAAUCAAAACAGCAGGGAAACUUUGUCACGCCUGAUGCGCCAUCUUUGUACUGCCAAUGAGCAUCUAGGAAGUUCAAAAUUUUAAUAUUUUCAACCCAUCAGCGGCGAGUAUUCCUCUAUAUACUGUAUUUCCAGCCAACCUCUUCAGCACAGGGCUGUCGAGAUUUCCCACUCUUGUUUAUCGACCAUGCUGAUUGGUUCAAAUCUGGUAAUUCGUCUGCUAAUCGGUAAACCGCCAAAACUUGAUGACGUAGUCGGUAAAACGUUACCUUAGGAAAUAUGCUUUUUCAUGGCUAAAAUACCAUAUAGAAUACACAGAAAUAAAUUGUAGAUGUAUUUAAUUACCUUACUUACAUUAUAUUAGCGAUAUUUUAGCAGAACUAAAGUAAUAAAAAUUACAAUUGAAAAAAAUACAAAUCUAAUGUGAUCUCAUAUAACACUCUGAAUGGUGUAUAAUGCAGUGUUUAUUAUUCAGAAAUUUAUAAAACUAAUGACAGGAACAAUGACAUUCAAUGAGUAUGAGGACUACUCUAAUAUAAUUACUGUAUCUGGGAUCUUCGUUACCCUCACCACACAUGUUCUCGCAACCAAUCAAAACGCGAGCAGUUGAACCAAUCAGCGUGUUCGGUCAACAAGAGUCGGACAUCUCAACAGCCUUCACUAAGCAGUUCGUGUCCAGUCGCUUCUCAGUGUGUGUGUGUGUGUGAAUAUUAUUUGUUAAAAAUUUCGUUCCAGACAUUUUUAUAUUAAUCCAUAACUGAACUUUAAUGCAAUAGACAUUUGAGUGAAGGUUGACAGCCUUAGAAGAGCUGUAACUUGUGGCCAAUGUAAGAGACACACGCAGUUAACAUUAAGGGUGGGAAGUAACUCUCAGUCACAAGAGGAAAAUUUAAGAACCAGCCAAAUUAUAAAGAGUUAUACCAAGAUAUCAAGAUUUAAAUAUCACCCAAAAGGCGAAGAAUUAGAUACCAGCCAAGAAUUCACUACCAGUCAAAAGAUAAGGAAAUAUAAGUGUUGUAUUUGUGUCAGUUUAAGGUGAAUUACUGCUCAAUAAGUGUAUGUAUAUACAGUAUACAGUAUAUGAUUAAUCAAAUACCGUACCAGCCAAAGAAAUUAACUAUUAUCACAUAAGCAAAAGCUGACCCCUGUGUGUAAUCUUUUAUAUGUCAAACCAAAGACUGAUUGUGAUAAUCAUAAGAAAAGAUAACUGUAACUUGUGAUAAACUGACAGUAAACUGAAAGUGACAAUGUAUUAAAGAAACAAAAAGUAUGAACAUUAUGACAAAUCUUAGAGAUGUAAGAAAGAAUAAGACUAGUGAUGAAAGAACUAGGAUAUUAUUAUUGAAAGAAAAGAAGACUGAAAUGCUUCCAUCUCUACGGCCACCACACAAGGGUUAAGUGUUUUAUUUCAGUUCACCCCAAGAUACAAAGAAGCCACAGUGAAGAUAACCGAGAAACAGUAAGAUUUAUGUGUGCUCUGACAGAAAAAAACAAUUGUGUAAUCAAAGAAAAAUAAAGUGAAAAUAAUGACAUUAAAGACAUUUGGAGAGAAAGUGAUGGUAUUAAAUUAAAAAGGUGAUGAAAAGAGUGAAAGAAAUAAAAGCAAAGAAACAAUGAGUAUAUCUGGAAGUGAUAACAAAAUAAUGGCUGGAAAUAUGAUAACAUGCAAACAAUAAUUGCUGGAAGUGAUGAUGUAAAAUAAUAAUGACUGGAAAUGAUGAAAACAAUACUGAAUACUUUGGUGACAUCAACUUAGGAUCAGUCAAUGCAGAUAUAUUACCACCUCAGCGCAACACACACACACACAAGGAUGUGUGCUGGUAUGACAUGGAGCUUAAAGUGAGUGACCAUUGAAAAAAGAAGAGAACCCUUACUUCACCUCCACCAGAGGUGGUGAUGAGGGAAAAAA
rnacentral:lncRNA from 1 species